CGAACGGCAGCACGGGGGCAACCCUGGUGGCGAGUGGCGAACGGGUGAGUAAUACAUCGGAACGUGUCCUGUAGUGGGGGAUAGCCCGGCGAAAGCCGGAUUAAUACCGCAUACGCUCUACGGAGGAAAGGGGGGGAUCUUAGGACCUCCCGCUACAGGGGCGGCCGAUGUCUGAUUAGCUAGUUGGUGAGGUAAAGGCUCACCAAGGCGACGAUCAGUAGCUGGUCUGAGAGGACGAUCAGCCACACUGGGACUGAGACACGGCCCAGACUCCUACGGGAGGCAGCAGUGGGGAAUUUUGGACAAUGGGCGAAAGCCUGAUCCAGCAAUGCCGCGUGUGUGAAGAAGGCCUUCGGGUUGUAAAGCACUUUUGUCCGGAAAGAAAACGCCGUGGUUAAUACCCGUGGCGGAUGACGGUACCGGAAGAAUAAGCACCGGCUAACUACGUGCCAGCAGCCGCGGUAAUACGUAGGGUGCAAGCGUUAAUCGGAAUUACUGGGCGUAAAGCGUGCGCAGGCGGUCCGCUAAGACAGAUGUGAA
rnacentral:rRNA from 1 species